rnacentral:rRNA from 1 species
AGCAGCCGCGGUAAUACGGAGGGUGCGAGCGUUAAUCGGAAUUACUGGGCGUAAAGCGCAUGCAGGCGGCCUGUUAAGUCAGAUGUGAAAGACCCGGGGCGUUAACCUCGGAAUUGCAUUUGAAACUAGGCAGGCUAGAGUCUUGUAGAGGGGGGUAGGAAGUUUCUAGGUGUAGCGGUGAAAUAGCGUAGAGAUCUGAAGGAAUACCAGUGGCGAAGGCGGCCCCCUCGGACAAAGACUGACGCUCAGAUGCGAAAGCGUGGGGAGCAAACAGGAUUAGAUACCCUGGUAG